rnacentral:rRNA from 1 species
GACGAACGCUGGCGGCGUGCCUAAUACAUGCAAGUCGAACGCAGUGGGGACGGGUGAGUAACACGUGGGUAACCUCCCAUCAGAGGGGAUAACACUUGGAAACAGGUGCUAAACCGAUACUGAUGGAUGGACCCGCGGUGCAUUAGCUAGUUGGUGAGGUAACGGCUCACCAAGGCCACGAUGCAUAGCCGGCCUGCGAGGGGGAUCAGCCAAACUGGGACUGAGACACGGCCCAGACUCCUACGGGAGGCAGCAGUAGGGAAUCUUCCGCAGUGGGAGCAAGCCUGACGGAGCAACGCCGCGUGGGUGAAGAAGGUUUUCGGAUCGUAAAGCUCUGUUGUAAGAGAAGCGGUAUCUUACCAGAAAGCCACGGCUAACUACGUGCCAGCAGCCGCGGUAAUAC